rnacentral:lncRNA from 1 species
CCAGCUCCUUCUUUCUUAACAGUAUCUUCCGAUAUAUUUGGUGAAACCACCGGCUUUCGCCCUUCGAUUUUUGAAGCCUCUUCCUCAGAACUUCGGACUCCACUUCUGCAUCAUUGACUGCCUGUUGCUCAUAGGCCAGCUGAAUUUUCAGCCGCUGCAGUUCGAUCUUCUCCUUUCCAAAGACUACGGACAGUUCUUUCAUGGUCCCCCUCA